GUUGUAUGGUUAAGUGACUAAGCGUACACGGUGGAUGCCUUGGCAGUCAGAGGCGAUGAAAGACGUAGUAACUUGCGAUAAGCCCAGAUUAGGUAGUAACAACCAUUUGAGUCUGGGAUUUCUGAAUGGGGAAACCCACGUGCAUAAGCACGUAUCCUUACCUGAAUACAUAGGGUAAGGAGGCGAACCGGGGGAACUGAAACAUCUAAGUACCCCGAGGAAAAGAAAUCAACCGAGAUUCCGAAAGUAGCGGCGAGCGAAAUUGGACUAGCCCUUAAGCUUUACACACGUUAGACGAACGGUCUGGAAAGUCCGACGAUACAGGGUGAUAGUCCCGUAGUUGACGACGUGUGUUCAGUGAAAUCGAGUAGGGCGGGACACGUGAUAUCCUGUCUGAAUAUGGGGGGACCAUCCUCCAAGGCUAAAUACUACUGACUGACCGAUAGUGAACCAGUACCGUGAGGGAAAGGCGAAAAGAACCCCUGUGAGGGGAGUGAAAUAGAACCUGAAACCGUGUACGUACAAGCAGUAGGAGCAGGCUUGUCCUGUGACUGCGUACCUUUUGUAUAAUGGGUCAGCGACUUAUAUUCAGUGGCAAGGUUAACCAUCUAGGGGAGCCGUAGGGAAACCGAGUCUUAACUGGGCGUUCAGUCUCUGGAUAUAGACCCGAAACCAGGUGAUCUAGCCAUGGGCAGGUUGAAGGUUGAGUAACAUCAACUGGAGGACCGAACCGACUAAUGUUGAAAAAUUAGCGGAUGACUUGUGGCUAGGGGUGAAAGGCCAAUCAAACCUGGAGAUAGCUGGUUCUCCCCGAAAGCUAUUUAGGUAGCGCCUCGGACGAAUACUACUGGGGGUAGAGCACUGUUAAGGCUAGGGGGUCAUCCCGACUUACCAACCCUUUGCAAACUCCGAAUACCAGUAAGUACUAUCCGGGAGACACACGGCGGGUGCUAACGUCCGUCGUGGAGAGGGAAACAACCCAGACCGCCAGCUAAGGUCCCAAAUUACUACUAAGUGGGAAACGAUGUGGGAAGGCUCAGACAGCCAGGAUGUUGGCUUAGAAGCAGCCAUCAUUUAAAGAAAGCGUAAUAGCUCACUGGUCGAGUCGGCCUGCGCGGAAGAUGUAACGGGGCUAAGUAGUAAACCGAAGCUGCGGCAAUGUGCUUUUGCACAUUGGGUAGGGGAGCGUUCUGUAAGCGGUUGAAGGUGUGUGGUAACGCAUGCUGGACGUAUCAGAAGUGCGAAUGCUGACAUGAGUAACGAUAAAGGGGGUGAAAAACCUCCUCGCCGGAAGACCAAGGGUUCCUGUCCAACGUUAAUCGGGGCAGGGUAAGUCGACCCCUAAGGCGAGGCCGAAAGGCGUAGUCGAUGGGAAACGGGUUAAUAUUCCCGUACUUCUUACAAUUGCGAUGGGGGGACGGAGAAGGCUAGGUGGGCCUGGCGACGGUUGUCCAGGUUCAAGUGCGUAGGCUUAAGAGUUAGGUAAAUCCGGCUCUUUUUAAGGCUGAGACACGACGUCGAGCACCUACGGGUGUGAAGUCAUUGAUGCCAUGCUUCCAGGAAAAGCCUCUAAGCUUCAGAUUGUAAGGAAUCGUACCCCAAACCGACACAGGUGGUCGGGUAGAGAAUACCAAGGCGCUUGAGAGAACUCGGGUGAAGGAACUAGGCAAAAUGGUACCGUAACUUCGGGAGAAGGUACGCUCUUGAUGGUGAAGUCCCUUGCGGAUGGAGCUGACGAGAGUCGCAGAUACCAGGUGGCUGCAACUGUUUAUUAAAAACACAGCACUGUGCAAAAUCGUAAGAUGACGUAUACGGUGUGACGCCUGCCCGGUGCCGGAAGGUUAAUUGAUGGGGUUAGACUUCGGUCGAAGCUCUUGAUCGAAGCCCCGGUAAACGGCGGCCGUAACUAUAACGGUCCUAAGGUAGCGAAAUUCCUUGUCGGGUAAGUUCCGACCUGCACGAAUGGCGUAAUGAUGGCCACGCUGUCUCCACCCGAGACUCAGUGAAAUUGAAAUCGCUGUGAAGAUGCAGUGUACCCGCGGCUAGACGGAAAGACCCCGUGAACCUUUACUACAGCUUGGCACUGAACAUUGACCCUACAUGUGUAGGAUAGGUGGGAGGCUUUGAAGCACGUACGCCAGUAUGUGUGGAGCCGUCCUUGAAAUACCACCCUUGUAGUGUUGAUGUUCUAACGUCGACCCCUAAUCGGGGUUGCGGACAGUGCCUGGUGGGUAGUUUGACUGGGGCGGUCUCCUCCCAAAGAGUAACGGAGGAGCACGAAGGUGGGCUAAUCACGGUUGGACAUCGUGAGGUUAGUGCAAUGGCAUAAGCCCGCUUGACUGCGAGAAUGACAAUUCGAGCAGGUGCGAAAGCAGGUCAUAGUGAUCCGGUGGUUCUGAAUGGAAGGGCCAUCGCUCAACGGAUAAAAGGUACUCCGGGGAUAACAGGCUGAUACCGCCCAAGAGUUCAUAUCGACGGCGGUGUUUGGCACCUCGAUGUCGGCUCAUCACAUCCUGGGGCUGAAGUCGGUCCCAAGGGUAUGGCUGUUCGCCAUUUAAAGUGGUACGCGAGCUGGGUUUAGAACGUCGUGAGACAGUUCGGUCCCUAUCUGCCGUGGGCGUUGGAAGAUUGAAGGGGGCUGCUCCUAGUACGAGAGGACCGGAGUGGACGAACCUCUGGUGUUCGGGUUGUGUCGCCAGACGCAUUGCCCGGUAGCUAAGUUCGGAAUCGAUAACCGCUGAAAGCAUCUAAGCGGGAAGCGAGCCCUGAGAUGAGUCUUCCCUGAUACUUUAAGUAUCCUAAAGGGUUGUCGGAGACUACGACGUUGAUAGGUCAGGUGUGUAAGUGCUGUGAGGCAUUGAGCUAACUGAUACUAAUUGCCCGUGAGGCUUAACCAUACAACACCCAAGGGGUUU
rnacentral:rRNA from 1 species